AAAUGAAUUGACGGGGACCCGCACAAGCGGUGGAGCGUGUUGUUUAAUUCGAUGGUAAGCGAAGAACCUUACCAAGGUUUGACAUCCUGGGAAGGCUUCCGAAAGGAAACUGUGCCUUUAUUGGAACCCAGUGACAGGUGCUGCAUGGCCGUCGUCAGCUCGUGUCGUGAGAUGUAUGGUUAAGUCCAUUAACGAGCGCAACCCUUAUGUUUAGUUGGAUUUCUCUAAACAGACUGCCCUGGCAACAGGGAGGAAGGAGGGGAUGACGUCAGGUCAGUAUUGCCCUUACACCUUGGGCUACAAACACGCUACAAUGGCCGGUACAAAGGGCAGCCAACCCGCGAGGGGGAGCAAAUCCCAUCAAAGCCGGUCCCAGUUCGGAUAGCAGGCUGAAACUCGCCUGCUUGAAGUCGGAAUCGCUAGUAACGGUAAGUCAGCACAUUACCGUGAAUACGUUCCCGGGUCUUGUACACACCGCCCGU
rnacentral:rRNA from 1 species